rnacentral:rRNA from 1 species
GACGAACGCUGGCGGCGUGCUUAACACAUGCAAGUCGAACGGAAAGGCCCUGCUUUUGUGGGGUGCUCGAGUGGCGAACGGGUGAGUAACACGUGAGUAACCUGCCCUUGACUUUGGGAUAACUUCAGGAAACUGGGGCUAAUACCGGAUAGGAGCUCCUGCUGCAUGGUGGGGGUUGGAAAGUUUCGGCGGUUGGGGAUGUACUCGCGGCUUAUCAGCUUGUUGGUGGGGUAGUGGCUUACCAAGGCUUUGACGGGUAGCCGGCCUGAGAGGGUGACCGGCCACAUUGGGACUGAGAUACGGCCCAGACUCCUGCGGGAGGCAGCAGUGGGGAAUAUUGCACAAUGGGCUGAAGCCUGAUGCAGCAACGCCGCGUGCGGGAUGACGGCCUUCGGGUUGUAAACCGCUUUCGCCUGUGACGAAGCGUGAGUGACGGUAAUGGGUAAAGAAGCACCGGCUAACUACGUG